rnacentral:rRNA from 1 species
AGUGAACGCUGGCGGCAGGCCUAACACAUGCAAGUCGAACGGAAGCACAGUAAGCGCUUGCCCUUACGGGUGGCGAGUGGCGGACGGGUGACGCAUACAUCGGAAUCUACUUUUUCGUGGGGGACAACGUAGGGCAACUUACGCUAAUACCGCAUACGUCCUACGGGUGAAAGCAGGAGAUCUUCGCACCUUGCGCGAUUGAAUGAGCCGAUGUCGGAUUAGCUAGUUGGCGGGGUAAAGGCCCACCUAGGCGACGGUCCGUAGCUGGUCUGAGAGGAUGAUCCGGCACACUUGAACUGAGGCACGGUCCAGGCUCCUACGGGAGGGAGCAGUGGGGAAUAUUGGACAAUGGGGGCAAGCCUGAUCCAGCCAUACCGCGUGGGUGAAGAAGGCCUUCGGGUUGUAAAACCCUUUUGUUGGGAAAGAAAAGCAGCAGUUUAAUACCCCGCUGUUCUGACGGUACCCAAAGAAUAAGCACCGGCUAACUUCGUG